rnacentral:rRNA from 1 species
GUAGGUGGCAAGCGUUGUCCGGAAUUAUUGGGGCGUAAAGCGCGCGCAGGCGGUUCUUUAAGUCUGAUGUGAAAGCCCACGGGCUCAACCGUGGGGGGUCAUUGGAAACUGGAGAACUUGAGUACAGAAGAGGAAAGCGGAAUUCCACGUGUAGCGGUGAAAUGCGUAGAGAUGUGGAGGAACACCAGUGGCGAAGGCGGCUUUCUGGUCUGUAACUGACGCUGAGGCGCGAAAGCGUGGGGAGCAAGCAGGAUUAGAUACCCUGGUAGUCCACGCCGUAAACGAUGAGUGCUAAGUGUUAGGGGGUUUCCGCCCCUUAGUGCUGCAGCUAACGCAUUAAGCACUCCGCCUGGGGAGUACGGCCGCAAAGGCUGA